CCUACGGGAGGCAGCAGUGGGGAAUAUUGCACAAUGGGGGAAACCCUGAUGCAGCGACGCCGCGUGAAGGAAGAAGUAUUUCGGGAUGUAAACUUCUAUUAGCAGGGAAGAAAAUGACGGUACCUGACUAAGAAGCCCCGGCUAACUACGUGCCAGGAGCCGUGGUAAUACGGAGGCGGCAAGCGUUAUCCGGAUUUACUGGGUGUAAAGGGAGCGUAGGCGGUUUAGCAAGUCAGAAGUGAAAGCCCGGGGCUCAACUCCGGGACUGCUUUUGAUACUGGUGAACUGAAUUGCAGGCGAGGUAAGUGGAAUUCCUAGUGUAGCGGUGAAAUGCGUAGAUAUUAGGAGGAACACCAGUGGCGAAGGCGGCUUACUGGACUGUAAAUGACGCUGAGGCUCGAAAGCGUGGGGAGCAAACAGGAUUAGAUACCCCUGUAGUC
rnacentral:rRNA from 1 species